GUGGCCCCACGUAGUUAGGAUAGUGUCCUGCUGCAAUCUGACACAGGCCCUAAAGCUGGUUCUGAGUUGUGUAUAAAUGAAUCAAGCCACACCAUAUUCCCGCAAACUCAGUCCACCAGGAAUAUAUAUUCAGUUUAGUAAUAAACAAGCUUUACGCUUCCACCUGAUGUCAGUGUUCAGUACCAGACCUGGAUAUAACAUGAACUUGCAGCAGUACUACUGGUUCCUAGAAGGAUCAUCUCCCUACACCCUUUGGACUGUGAACCCCAGUGAUGGGGCUGUCGCAGGGAUGGUUUUCUCCACUAAAUUGUCACAGGCUUUGGGCAGAAAUUCAAUUAGCCACUGUAGAUUACAGCAGAAUAAUUGUUCCCCCUUUAGCCCAGAAGUCAGAUUUAUGAACUAUUCAGUGCAUGGACCAGAAAGGAUUAUUGCUCACAGCCGGACAAUGACAAAAAACAUUCUGGAUCAUUUUGUAUGAUUAUCAAAUAAGACUGUAUUAUCUUCCAGCCAACAAGUUCAAUCGUAUCCAUUGCAGUUGUGUAACAAAAAACAAAGUAACAGCAUAAUAAUGUGUCACUACAUAAAACAAAAAUGCCUGACUAUGGGGCCAAUUCAAUUGUUUGUCUCCCCAGCCACUACAAGAUGGCGCCCAAAGGAGCAAGUCAAUUGUUGCUCAGUUCGAGCGGGCAUGCCGCAAGGGAAACAUUUCAGCUCAUAGCCUCCUGAGGUGCGAGCUGAAAGGUGCAUAAACGCCGUGGUCUGGGGUCUCAAACCUGUACUUUAGGCAGGUUUAGCAGAUUUGCCUGGCUAAUCCCAGUACUAAUGGGCACGCACACGGUGCAUGCGCGGCCAACUGUGACAAUUGAAUAGCCCCGGUGGGCGCCCAAUACUUUUGGAUGCCCACAAAACAACUGAAUCUGCCACUAUGAAUCUAAGGCUGGGUACACACUAUAGCAUCGGAUUGGCCACCCAGCCGACCUGCCAAGUAUGCCGCACAGCAUACACACUUACUGACAAAUAUGCCAUACCACAGAAACCGGUUGUAACAUCCCUGUCGGCUUCUCCUUUGGCCAGCCGACAGAUUGUCCGUAUACCAGGCAUAUGUAACAAUAUAUCUGCAUCUGCUGUGUUGCAUACCCACCGAUGCACUUGAUAUAUGGUUAGUUAGUUGACUGUAGGAACAAUAUAUUGCAUAGUGUGUACCCAGCCCAACUAAACAGUUGCUAAUAUUGGUCAAAAUUGUGAAUUUGCAAAGAGUUGCGCUCCCCUUGAAACAUACCAAUGUCAAUGUUCCUUCCACGGUAACUGAAUUCAGUGAUCAGUAUAUAUUUUGGCUCUCAAUUUCAAGCCCUUUUCAAAACGUAUUAACCUAUGUUCCCCCAACACUGUUCCCCAAUUUAUUCAUUUUCAACAAAAAUAAAUAAUCUGAGCAGGUAUAACUUCAGAAUUUUAGGAAUACUAUAAAUAACGUCGUAAUACAGUCUGGCCU